GACGAACGCUGGCGGCGUGCCUAAUACAUGCAAGUAGAACGCACAGUUUAUACCGUAGCUUGCUACACCAUAAACUGUGAGUUGCGAACGGGUGAGUAACGCGUAGGUAACCUGCCUGGUAGCGGGGGAUAACUAUUGGAAACGAUAGCUAAUACCGCAUAAUAUUUAUUAUUGCAUGAUAAUUGAUUGAAAGAUGCUAUUGCAUCACUACCAGAUGGACCUGCGUUGUAUUAGCUAGUAGGUGAGGUAACGGCUCACCUAGGCGACGAUACAUAGCCGACCUGAGAGGGUGAUCGGCCACACUGGGACUGAGACACGGCCCAGACUCAUACGGGAGGCAGCAGUAGGGAAUCUUGGGCAAUGGACGAAAGUCUGACCGAGCAACGCCGCGUGAGUGAAGAAGGUUGUCGGAUCGUAAAGCUCUGUUGUAAGAGAAGAACGGGUGUGAGAGUGGAAAGUUCACACUGUGACGGUAUCUUACCAGAAAGGGACGGCUAACUACGUG
rnacentral:rRNA from 1 species